GCUGCUCACGCCAUCGUCGGAAACAGUAUACCUUAGUUUCGCUUUUUGACAUCGUCAAGGCAAGAUCAUAAAAUGAUGAUUAAAGAUCAUUCUAGCUAAAUGAAUAAUUUAAAUUUAGAUAUUCUAAAGCAAUAGAGGAUGUGAUAGAAUACAAAAAGCAUGAAUAUGUUCAAAGUACACGGAUGCCCCACUCGCACUAUCACAAGGAACAUAUUAUUAAGUUUCAAAUUGAUUGGCUGGACUUCAACGUCAUCAAAAACUAUCUUGACCAAAAACUUUAACUUGAAACUUGCCCUAUCAUUUUCUAUGUUAAAUGUAUUGUGAAAUGAUAGGGCAUCAAUCUAAUUUGGCAUUAAAAUAAAAAAACAAGAGGCUGUCACAACGACAGCAAACCGGAUUUAUUAACAUUUAUUUGUAUCCUGCCAAUAUCACAAGAACCAUAACUGAUGAACGGUGAAAGUGAAAAUCGUCAAUAUGAAAUUUGACCUCCAUUUUGUCAUCAGUAUCAACAUAUUAAAAUUUGAAAAGCUUAGGUUUAAUGGUUCAUGAGUAAAUGCACGGACACGACUGGAAAAACCAUUUUUCAAUCUUUCAAG
rnacentral:lncRNA from 1 species